UACGUAGGGGGCAAGCGUUGUCCGGAAUCAUUGGGCGUAAAGAGCGUGUAGGCGGUCCGGUAAGUCGGCUGUGAAAGUCCAGGGCUCAACCCUGGGAUGCCGGUCGAUACUGCCGGACUAGAGUUCGGAAGAGGCGAGUGGAAUUCCCGGUGUAGCGGUGAAAUGCGCAGAUAUCGGGAGGAACACCUAUGGCGAAGGCAGCUCGCUGGGACGUUACUGACGCUGAGAAGCGAAAGCGUGGGGAGCGAACAGG
rnacentral:rRNA from 1 species